rnacentral:rRNA from 1 species
AGCUACGCAUGCAGCCGAGCGGUAGAGAUUCUUCGGAAUCUUGAGAGCGGCGCACGGGUGCGGAACACGUGUGCAACCUGCCUUUAUCUGGGGGAUAGCCUUUCGAAAGGGAGAUUAAUACCCCAUAAUAUAAUGAGUGGCAUCACUUGUUAUUGAAAACUCCGGUGGAUAGAGAUGGGCACGCGCAAGAUUAGAUAGUUGGUGAGGUAACGGCUCACCAAGUCAAUGAUCUUUAGGGGGCCUGAGAGGGUGAUCCCCCACACUGGUACUGAGACACGGACCAGACUCCUACGGGAGGCAGCAGUGAGGAAUAUUGGACAAUGGGUGAGAGCCUGAUCCAGCCAUCCCGCGUGAAGGACGACGGCCCUAUGGGUUGUAAACUUCUUUUGUACAGGGAUAAACCUUUCCACGUGUGGAGAGCUGAAGGUACUGUACGAAUAAGCACCGGCUAACUCCGUGCCAGCAGCCGCGGUAAUACGGAGGGUGCAAGCGUUAUCCGGAUUUAUUGGGUUUAAAGGGUCCGUAGGCGGAUCUGUAAGUCAGUGGUGAAAUCUCAUAGCUUAACUAUGAAACUGCCAUUGAUACUGCAGGUCUUGAGUAAGGUAGAAGUAGCUGGAAUAAGUAGUGUAGCGGUGAAAUGCAUAGAUAUUACUUAGAACACCAAUUGCGAAGGCAGGUUACUAUGUCUUAACUGACGCUGAUGGACGAAAGCGUGGGGAGCGAACAGGAUUAGAUACCCUGGUAGUCCACGCUGUAAACGAUGCUAACUCGUUUUUGGGUUUUCGGAUUCAGAGACUAAGCGAAAGUGAUAGUUAGCCACCUGGGGAGUACGAACGCAAGUUUGAAACUCAAAGGAAUUGACGGG